AGCCCUUUAGUUUAAUUGGUAGAACGUCAGAUUCUGACUCUGAAGAAGUAGGUUCGAAUCCUGCAGGGGCCG
rnacentral:tRNA from 1 species